UAACAGGCAGGGAAGAAUGGGAAAGGAAAGUGGGGAGAAAGGGUCCCUGUCUCUAUCUAAACCCUUUCCCCUCCCUCCUCAAGUUUGGGGGGGAACUCAGGCCUUGGCAGCCUGAGCCCCCUGAGACAAAGUCAGGUUGACUCACAACAGGACAACAGGAGCUGAGGUAAAGUCUGCUCAGGUUUCUCUUCAGAAAGUCCCUUCAAUUGGGAAGUGUUGGGGGUAAAGAUUUCCAGUUACCAGCAGGAAAAAUGGGUAACACUCAGGAAAAAGUCUUUUCCCCAACUUCUCUCUUUAGCUUCUCAAGACUGAGAGACCCUCACUGUUCUUCAAGCCAGAGUCUCCUCCUUCUCCGGAUUCCACUCCUGGGGCCCCUCCCCUAUCAAGUUGGAAGAGCAGGUGGUACAAUUCCCACCAGACCUGGCUUUGAGUCUUGGCAAUCUUAG
rnacentral:lncRNA from 1 species